GAGAGAGAGUGGGAGGGCAGAUCUCAGAGCUGGAGGCACUGGGGCUGGGGACAACUGAUAGACACACACACACACACACAUACACAUGGCGCAAAACCCUAGGCCUUCAGCACAGAAACGGUGGAAGACUGAAAAAGGACUGAGGGACAGAGGUGCUCAGUUUGUGCACAGAUUUCAACCCCCACAGACAACUCCAUCAUUUGCAGGAACACAUGAACACACAGACCCACGAAAUCAAGCUGACAGCAGGCACACACACCGGCACAGAGGUGCCUGUUGACAAAGUAACGUCCAGGCAGACACACGGAAACAGAGUCAUCAGAUGGCGGACAUCCCAACAUGCAGACACACUCGCGGAUCUCUUGGUACAGAGGACAAACAGACACCGACCAUCUGAUCGAGACACACACUCAGCACACUGCCACACCGAAUUCUCCAUGUGGUAACACCGGCAGCUAUCACACCACCACAGUCCAUUCCAGCCUAGGGUUUGCAGGUCUGCAUUAUGAAAGAAACCCAGCCUCACAUACAGAGGAACAUUCACACAGGGGAACACCCAACUCCCCAAACUUUCAUUGAUUGCCCACAAGGUUUAAGGCAGCUGCUGACAGCACGGACAUAAGUGAAGACACACCCAGGAGCCUGACAUGUGACGGGACACAGGUCCCUGAAGCACCACGGGCCCUGACAUGUCCCGCCCGCACCCACACAAACACAUGCCGGCCUAGGGUGUGAGCCGAGCUGAGACUCCUCCCUGCCCACAAGCUCUGCGUAGCAGCAGAUGUGCCUUGGGGUCAGAGGGCCCUAGUGGCUCCAGGACCAGCUCCAGAUGAACCCACGCUGCCUGGGCUGUACCCUUGACCCUCAGCACUAGGGAGGAAACAGCAUCAGCUUCCCUGGCAGCCCCCUACCCCGGCUGAGGAGGAAAGAUAUAGCCCAUCCCCAGAACCCCUGGUUGGAAGCCCUGUCCUCCCAAGUCCCCGCCUGGACUGAUAGAGGAGACAUGGUCCUGCCCACAGCAGCCCUGAUCUGAUGGAGGCUGUAUCUCCCUCCCAGGCAGCUCUGGACGCUACAGACACAGACACACACACACCCUAGCAUGUGGCAGCUCCCAGGAGGUUCUGGAGGGCUUCCUGACAGAGGUGAGCCUGGGGCCUGGUUUGGGAGUCCAGGAGGGAAGAAGGAGGGGGUGUGCUGAGGAGGGCCUCCUUAUCUCACCCCACACCCGCCCCUUGCCCAGCGGUUCCUCCUCCCCCCAGGGCCCGAGGGGCCUGCUGGGGCCCCACAGCCCCAUCAGCCCAAGCAGUGAGCAGGAGGAGGAGAAUGGAUAUUUUUAGCUUCUCUGCCACUGACAUUUCGCAGCAGGCGACCUGGGGUGAAGCUGAGUGAGUGCUGAAGGCUGGGAGAAGCCGCCAGCGCCUUCCCGCCCCCGUGCACAUGCACACACAACUGUGCACGCACACAGACACAUCCCCCAACACUCACUGAAGGGACACAGCUUCAGGUACACAAGUUAUGUGUGGAUCUAGACACACACACACACGCGCACACCUGCACGCGCACUCGGUUCACAAGCCACUUUAGCCUAAAACUGCACACACUUGGACGACACCAAAAUGUACCCGUUCACACACCCAGAUACAUGCACACACAGUUCAGACAUAAAACACACCUCCCACACAUAGCCGAGCACGCACCCAUUCGCUCAUCAUUUAGAAGAGAAAUAGGAUUUAAUGCCUACUGUGUGUUAGGCACUAUUCUAAACACAAAAGGUACCAUGAAGAAAACAGACCAAAAUUCCAGCCUCACAGAGUUUACAUUCUGGUGGGGGAAUGUUUGGCCAUAAAUAGACAAAGUACCAUUUCAAGAACCACACAUUGAACCCAAUCCCCCGAAAUGUACAACCACAUAUGUGAACANNNNNNNNNNNNNNNNNNNNNNNNNNNNNNNNNNNNNNNNNNNNNNNNNNNNNNNNNNNNNNNNNNNNNNNNNNNNNNNNNNNNNNNNNNNNNNNNNNNCCCAAUCCCCCGAAAUGUACAACCACAUAUGUGAACAGCUCCCUCACAUUCAUUGUCCCACAAAUACACAUAACUGCACACGCCACCCUUAGUCAAGACUCACACACACCACUCCACCUUGUACCUCAAAACAAUCACAGAUGUGUACACAGUUGCACUCAUAUGCAAUUAUACACUUCACAUAUAAAUACGCAAACACGAUACACACAAAUCCAGCCACACACACACAGCGCAUAGCCAUAUAAUUUACUUACCUGCAUACACAGAAUACAGCCUCCACAACAGCAUGUAAAUACAAGGUCACACAGCCUCCUCCACAUACCCGAAUGUACUUACACACACAUGCACACAACCUCAGGGUAAAAUUCCUCUUCCUGCCUAGAGCACACACACACAUGUACACAUUCCCACAAUGCUUCCCCUACCCAGGGAAGUCCAAGCCUGUGUGCCUGUGUUCACAGGUGUACAUACAGUGUCUUAUCACACUCACAAUGUAACAUACACACCUAAAUCCCAAGCUCCAAAGAGGCCACACACCCAGGUUCACACCCACCCCAUUUUCUCUUAAGGUGAGUCUAGUCACGGCACACCACACAUGCGCCUGGAAUUCUGCCCCCAAGAUUCCAGCCCUACUGACCCCAGGGUUUAGAGGGUUGAGUCCAGGCCUUAGAGAAACCCAGCAAGGGGCAGGACUCCCUCAGAGCUC
ensembl:lncRNA